rnacentral:rRNA from 1 species
CGCAUGGCGCAGCUACACAUGCAGUCGAGCGGCAGCACGGAGAUAUCUCGCUCCUUUGGCCAGCGACCGACGGAUGGGUGAUGACUGCCAGGGGAUCUGCCCGAUCGAGAGGGAUAACUACUGCAAACGGUAACUAAUACCAAAGUCGCCCUACCGGGGAAAGCGAGGGACCUUCCUGCCUUGCGCGAUUGGAUGAACCCAGGUGGGAUUAGCUAGUUGGUGAGGUAAUGGCUCACCCAAGCAACCAUCCCUAGCUGGUCUGAAAGGAUGAUCACCCACACUGUGACUGAGACUCCGUACUCACUCCUACGGGAGGCAUGGGUGGGGAAUAUUGCAGGGUGGGGGAAACCCUGAUGCAUGCCUGCCGCGUGUGUGAAGCCUUCCUUCUGGUUGUAAAUUUCUUUCAGCAAGAAGGAAAGGUUGGUAACUAAUAACUGCCAUCUGUGACGUUACUCACAAAACAAGCACCGGCUAACUCCGUGCCAGCAGCCGCGGUAAUACGGAGGGUGCAAGCGUUAAUCGGAAUUACUGGGCGUAAAGCGCACGCAGGCGGUUGGAUAAGAUAGAUGUGAAAUCCCCGGGCUCAACCUGGUGAAUUGCAUUUAAAACUGUCUAGCUUCUUGCUUGUAGAGGGGGGUAUAAUUCCGUGUGUAUCGGUGCAUGCAUAUAGAUAUGAAGGAAUACCGGUGGCGAAGGCGGCCCCCUGGACAAAGACUGACGCUCGCGUGCGAAAGCGUGGGGAGCAAAUUGAUUACAUACCCUGGUACCCCCUACAUAAACUAUAUCUAUAUGGAGUGCUGUGUCCUUGAGACGUGGCUUACCGAGCUAACUCGUUAAAUCGACCGCCUGGUGAGUACGGACGCAAAGUUAAAACUCGAAUUGAAUUGACGGCGCGCCCACACGAGCGAUGGAGCGUGUGAUUUAAAUGCGAUGCAAAGCAAACAAACCUUACUCUGGCCUUGACAUGUAUGUAUCCUAGCAUGAGAUGGGUGCGUGCCGUAGUGAAUCACAAGACGCGGUGCUGCAUGCUGCCGUCAGCUCGUUGUAGAUGAUAUGUUGAGUCAGUCACGCACGAACCCAUCAUCCUAUUCUUUUCUUGC